GGGCGGGCUCGGCGGCUUCUCCUAAGGGGGGACUACUUGACGUGUCGGUGCGGCGAAUUUAUUUCCCUUUGCCUAAGGAACGGGCUGUGCUGCGGCCCCCAUUGCCUAGGGAAAAAGCCCGGAUGUAAAAUGCUUCAGGAAGUCACGAUGAACUCAUUAUUUUAUUGUGAAACUAAAUCCAUAAAGCAGUCAUGAUGAGUAACUCGGGGACUUGUAAUUGGGCAGUAACACACAGUUUUAUCAUCUGGAGGAUUCUAGUGGGCUCAAUGUGGUUGCCAAUUCUCUGUGAUUUAAUUGUGAACUUUACAACAUUUAGUGCCCUUCUUAAAGCUGUAGCUCCUGGACUCAUACAAUUAUGCAAGAAAUUCAGCCGGGUAUGAUACUGAACAGCAGGGCUGAUGAAGAACUAAAAAAAGAAAAACACAGAAUAUAUCAGAGUGCUUGUGAAACAGUUACCAAUAGGUACACAGUUCAUGGAAUAACAGAUCCUUCAGAAGAAUUCUCCUAUCUUUGAAGAACUUGGAGAGGAAAAAUGUAAUAGAACUGGAAAGCUAUGAAUGGAAAUGAAACCACUGAGUAUGUUUUCAAGGACCCGCUGAAAGGAAUUUGCAACUUUUGUAAUGGAGCAUAUCAGUGUGUCACUAGCCUGAUAAGCAAAUAGAAAGGCAGAGUGGUAAACCAAAGGCAUGAGCCACAGACCAUGACAGCAACUACCAGGUUGUAAUGCAGACAUAUAGAUAUCACAACAGGUAGGCCUCCCACAUGCAUAGAAAUCAGACAUUCUGACAAACAGCAUAAAAAAAAAAAGUGCAUUUCUGUAAAAAAUUAAACACCAGUAGAAGGGGUGUCAUGUCUGUUUAGUCUUUUCAGAUGUUAGUGGUCAUUUUGGCACCUUAAGGAGGGACAUGAUAAACAGAGAAGAGAGGCAAGGAGCCUAAAGAAAACUACAGGAUGAUGAUAAUUGCAAGAUGUUAAGUACUUCAAAUAUAAAUACUGAUUGUGGUUUUCAAAAAUAUUUCUGUAAAUUUGUCCCCUAAACCCUUCUAUAUCGCUAGAUACAUUAAAAAGCCUGUAGUUUGAGUGGAUGGAGCAUCUAAGAAGCAAUUCAGUUCUCUAAGUAUUUAACUAGACAUAUAUUUGAGCUGCCAGUUUGGGACUACCAGCUGAGCAUCAUUUUGUCCUAUAGAGUAAUGUAGCAAGAAGAGUAUCAAUGUUUGAACACAGUAAAGAAGUAGUAAGUUUUGGGAAGUAUUAAACUACUGGAAUCCUGUGUAUUUAUUACAUGUUGUCUUGACUUUACUGUGCUGAAAAGUAGCUCAGCAUAGGCACAAGGACAAGGGAGGGAAGAAGAGCUGUGAAAUAAGUGUUAUGGAGGGAUGAGGAAGGGGAAACCUAGGAGCAGAGCUCUGCCUGGCUUUGCAUGCAAGAAUAAGAGUUAAAAAUGACUCAGUGGACAGAAAGGUCAAUGCUAGUGCAAAUGUGCAGAGUGAGUUUUCACGGCCCAGCAAUAAGUAGCGUUAGUCAUCUCUGGGAUUAAAUGUAUUGUGGGUAAAGAUCCCCCUGAGAUGACUGAUGCUGAACUAGCAUGGGCUCGCUCACACACCACCACGCCACACAGUCUUGCAUCUUCUCAAGAGCUGUGGCCCCCUGCGCUUCACAGCCUCUGGAGUCACCAGUCCUUCCUGAUGGCGUGACACCUUCUUCUCCAAGCUUCCCUGAUGGGUCUGGCUAUUUCUGGGUUUCUGCUUUGGCUGUGUUAUCUUAUCUUGCUGCUUUCUGGGAUAAUCCAGAGUUUA